CUUAACAGCAUCACCAUUACACCGGGCCUUUUGGAAGAGCUGGACAAAGGCAUCAACCCAGCAGCAGGACCGGUAUCUGCUCCUUUGUGCUAGGAGGAACCACAGGAGCACUGCCAGAUCCCUACAAAAUGACCUCCAGCAGGCUACAGUUCUGCCCCAGGAGUGCUACAGCUGAUUGCUGAAUGAGGUCCACCUGGCCUUGGAAGGCGGUAUUUCAAAGCUCCUGUGCCAGCAUCAGAAAGGAGGAUUUUUGAGUUGGGACUGCUGGUCUUACUGCCUCUCAGCCGUGGAUUUUGGGUCAGCGUUGGAGUGUUGUUUGCCCCAUGUAGCCACCAGUGGGUGGUGCUCUUUCCGUCUGUCUCCGCAACGCAUUUUCAUCUCAAUGCGUCAUAACAGACGCUUUCAG